AUGAUUAAAUCCAAUGCUUAUACUAUACCUCAUACUUCCAUUCUACAUUUUUGUAGCAAUGUAGAUGUCGAACGUAGUUGGAUGUACAAAGAGAGACGAGGGAAGUUGAUCAGUGAUGCUUGGCAACAUGGAGUAGAUAAUUUUCUAGAUCAUGCAUUCUCAUUGCCCGAUGCUGCUGCAGACGGGAAAUCCCGUUGUCCUUGCAGCAAGUGCUUUUGCGGUCAUAAGUGCACAAGGGAUGUCAUGGCCACACACUUGUGCAGCAAUGGGUUCAUGUUAGGAUAUGAGAGAUGGACUAGCCACGGGGAGUCUGAUGCACCUGAAAAUGUAGAGCAUGAUAACGUGGGGGAUGGAGAUAGAAUGAAUGACAUGCUAGUUGAUGCAAUUGUUGCUGAAGGAGUUUCUAAAGGCGAUGAGCCAACAAAAGCUGCUAAAAAAUUCUAUGAAAUGUUGAUGGAAGCCGACAAACCUUUGCAUGAGAAGACCACACAAUCACGUCUAUCCAUUGUAGGAAGGCUAAUGACUAUUAAAACACAACAUAAUCUGUCAGAAGCUUGUUACAAUGAGAUGAUGACUCUUAUACAUGACAUUGUUGGGGAUGAUGCUGCAAAAGAUCUCCCAGCAAACUUCCAUAGGUCCAAGAAGCUUGUGCAUAGUCUAGCAAUGCCUUACGUCAAAAUUCAUGCAUGCCCCAAUAAUUGUAUGAUUUAUUAUAAGGAGAAUGAAAAUAAAGAAAAAUGCACUAUCUGCAAAGAGCCUAGAUAUGAGGAAACAACCGCAGGAAAUAAAUCUACGAAAAUACUAAGAAAAGUUCUGCGCUAUCUCCCAAUUACUCCUAGGCUACAACGGUUGUACAUGUCACAAAGCACUGCCAAGCACAUGGACUAUCACGCAAGGCCUCAUAACAGUGAUGAAGUAAUGGUUCACCCUUCUCAUGGUGAAGCUUGGAAGGAAUUUAAUAAGGAAUUUAAAAAAUUUGCCGAGGAAGUAAGGAAUAUAAGGCUAUGUCUAGCAACUGACGGAUUCACACCUUUUGGUAUUACAGCAGCCUCCUACUCAUGUUGGCCAGUAUUUGUUGUGCCUUAUAAUCUUCCACCAGAAAUGUGCAUGAAGCAGAGUAACCUGAUCCUUGCACUAGUUAUUCCCGGUCCAGAUCAUCCAGGAAAGAACCUAAACGUUUUUAUGCAGCCUCUAGUUGACGAACUUGAUGAUUUGUGGAGAAAUGGUGUAGAAACUUAUGAUAGUUAUCGAAAGCAAAAUUUCACCUUAAAGGCAGCUUUGCUUUGGACUAUUCAUGACUUUCCAGCUUAUGGAUUAGUAGCAUGCUGGAGCACUCAUGGAAAGCUUGCUUGCCCUAUAUGUGGAUCUGACAUAAAGACAUUCUCAUUGAAGAAUGGGAGAAAACCAUGCUGGUUUGACUGCCAUAGGAGAUUCCUUCCCACUGACCAUGCAUUUCGUAGGAGUGUGAAAUGUUUUCGCAAGAAAAAAACAGUUUUAGAUCCUCCACCAAAGCCCUUGUCCGGAGAACAGGUGUAUGAAGAACUCCAAAGUCUUGUCCAUGAUGAAACUGGCAAGAGUAAAUUUGAGGGGUUUGGGAAGGAGCACAAUUGGAUAGCUAUAAGUGGUUUGUGGCAGCUAGAGUAUUUUCGGAAGUUGCUGCUUCGCCAUAACAUUGAUGUAAUGCACAAUGAGAAAAAUGUAUCUGAGGCUUUACUAAACACAUGCCUUGAUAUUCCUGAGAAAACUAAGGAUAGCAACAAAGCACGCCUUGAUGUUGCUUUAGUAUUGUGA
rnacentral:rRNA from 1 species